rnacentral:rRNA from 1 species
CCCUAUUAUUUAGAAUGUUAAAUUUUGUGCCUGAGUAGUAUUAGUUAUGUUCUUGAAACUUAAAGAAUUUGGCGGUAUCUCAUUCCGUCCAGAGGAAUCUGUCCCGUUAUCGAUAGUCCACGUUGGACCUUACUUAUUUGAUUUUGGUUUGUAUACCGCCGUUUAUUGUUUAUCUUUUUAGAGUUAUUAAUUUUCUGGUUUCUUUAUUUUGAUAUAUUUCAGGUCAAGGUGCAGCUUGUUUUUAAGUGGAAUGAUGGAUUACAUUGUUAUUUGUUUAUGGAUUAUUGGUUUUAAUAUCAAUAUGAAAUUGGAUUUGGUUGUAAUAGUUUGUAGAUUGUUAUUAUGAUAAUUGGUUCUGGGAUAUGCACACAUCGCCCGUCGCUCUCGUUUUAUAUUACAAUGAGAUAAGUC